rnacentral:rRNA from 1 species
CAGGCCUAACACAUGCAAGUCGAACGAAGGCUUCGGCCUUAGUGGCGCACGGGUGCGUAACGCGUGGGAAUCUGCCCCUGGGUUCGGAAUAACAGUUAGAAAUGACUGCUAAUACCGGAUGAUGACGUAAGUCCAAAGAUUUAUCGCCCAGGGAUGAGCCCGCGUAGGAUUAGCUAGUUGGUGGGGUAAAGGCCUACCAAGGCGACGAUCCUUAGCUGGUCUGAGAGGAUGAUCAGCCACACUGGGACUGAGACACGGCCCAGACUCCUACGGGAGGCAGCAGUGGGGAAUAUUGGACAAUGGGCGAAAGCCUGAUCCAGCAAUGCCGCGUGAGUGAUGAAGGCCUUAGGGUUGUAAAGCUCUUUUACCCGGGAUGAUAAUGACAGUACCGGGAGAAUAAGCUCCGGCUAACUCCGUGCCAGCAGCCGCGGUAAU